CCUGAUUUGUAUUCGAUUUGUUGGGUCGCACUGCGGAAAAACCUCGGCUCGGGGCCCUGCCUCUGAUGAAGCCUGUGUUGGUAGGGACAUCUGAGACUUGAUGAAUGCCAACGGCUCUGAUGGCGGUGCUUGCCGAGUUGCCGAGCGGGUUUCUGUUAAUGCCUUCUGCUCUUGCCUCUUCCCGUCUCUCAGUAAGGCCACGUGAGCCUCUAAAUGGCUGCAUUCCCCAUUGCAGCAUUAGUGCCCUCAGAAUGCUCCUGUGAAAUUUUGAGUGGUGUAGUAAAAGACCUGCAAACAUGAUGGGGAGACGACAAUGAUUAGAUGUGGGGAAAAAACGAAUUUUGGGAGUUCUUUGAUGGCCUAGCAGGUUGAGGCUCCUGCAUUCUCUGCGCUGUGGUUCUGGCUGCUGCUGUGCCGCGAAUGGUGCUAGGGAUGAAUGCAAUGUGGCUUUUGAUGGCUUCUGAUGGGCAGGUUGUAAAGCGCAAGCUUAACACUGUAUUUGUGGGCAAAAAGGUGAGAAACCUUUUUAAAGUCUAUAUACCCAGUGCUGUCCAAUUCUUUGUAUUUUUAGGGGUUGACAAAUCACCAAAUCAAUGUUGAUGCUUAAAUUAGCGGUUUGCUCCCCUUUUCAAACCUGAAAUUCUGCACCUUAGUUUUAUACUUAACUUGCGGGGAUCUGAAGAAACAGAUACUGUGAUGGUUGCAUAGUUCAACAGAUUGAAUCAUGAAAGAGAUAACAUUUGACUGAGUAUCUGGGUUGGGAAAACUUUGGCUAAUAGCAUAAGCAAAGUACCACUUCUAAUCUGACUUCUAUUUUUGUAGGUGCUAGGCAGAGUUAGCUGAAAGGUGAAGAGGUAAGUAAAAUUGUAAUUGAACUAAACAUUGGUGACUGGGCAAAGAUGACAGAAUGCCUCUGAUGGGUUUUUAGGACUGCCUUUUAAUACACGUGAAGCAAUCCUACCAUGAAGUGCUUGGACAGUGCUGAAUGCAUUAAGGCCAAAUCCUUGUCUUGUUACCGUAAGGUGUAUUGCUUUGGAAGAGCAGCCUGUGUGAUGAUAAGCAUAUACUGACUGAACAUGAAGGUCUUAUAUUAGCUCUAUCUGAUUUCAGGCAUUUUUUAGGUUUCUGGGGAAUAAUUCAUCUUUGACUACUGUAAAACCACUCUUUAUUUCUUUAGGUGAACUUGUCUGACAUGUCUGGACCAGCCUUUUUAGUGGGUAAGCAUUAAUGUUUAAAGCAAAAUUUAGUAGGCUCAAAACUUAGGGUAAUGCUGACAAGGUAGAAUGCCUAAGCUAAUUUUGUAUGUUUGAUUUGCAAACGUAUGUUGAGCAUGCUUUAGCAGGGUUUUUGUAAUGAUGUUGAGCAAAUGUCUGACCUGAAAUGAGCAUGUAGACAAAUCUAACACUGAAGGACCCUGUGACAAAAAUAAAUGAGAAUUUAAUGUAUGAUUGACCUUUUAG
rnacentral:lncRNA from 1 species